rnacentral:rRNA from 1 species
UACGGGGGGAGCAAGCGUUGUUCGGAUUUACUGGGCGUAAAGGGCGCGCAGGCGGCCACCGCAAGUCGACUGUGAAAUCUCCGGGCUUAACUCGGAAAGGUCAGCCGAUACUGCGGGGCUAGAGUGCAGAAGGGGCAACUGGAAUUCUCGGUGUAGCGGUGAAAUGCUUAGAUAUGACAUAGAACACCAAUUGCGAAGGCAGCUGGCUACACAAAUAUUGACACUGAGGCACGAAAGCGUGGGGAUCAAACAGG